UGGGGAAUUUUGGACAAUGGGCGAAAGCCUGAUCCAGCCAUGCCGCGUGAGUGAAGAAGGCCUUCGGGUUGUAAAGCUCUUUUAGUCGGAAAGAAAGAGUUGCAAUGAAUAAUUGUGAUUUAUGACGGUACCGACAGAAAAAGCACCGGCUAACUACGUGCCAGCAGCCGCGGUAAUACGUAGGGUGCGAGCGUUAAUCGGAAUUACUGGGCGUAAAGGGUGCGCAGGCGGUUUUGUAAGUCAGAUGUGAAACCCCCGGGCUUAGCCUGGGAAUUGCGUUUGAAACUGCAAGACUAGAGUGCAGCAGAGGGGAGUGGAAUUCCAUGUGUAGCAGUGAAAUGCGUAGAGAUGUGGAAGAACACCGAUGGCGAAGGCAGCUCCCUGGGUUGACACUGACGCUCAUGCACGAAAGCGUGGGGAGCAAACA
rnacentral:rRNA from 1 species